rnacentral:rRNA from 1 species
AGGUCAAGCUACAACGGGCUCACGGUGGAUACCUAGGCACGCAGAGGCGAAGAAGGACGUGGUUACCGACGAUACGCUUCGGGGAGCUGGAAGCAGGCAUUGAUCCGAAGGUUUCCGAAUGGGGCAACCCUAAAUACGGCCACCUGAAUCCAUAGGGUGGCGCGAGCGAACGCAGCGAACUGAAACAUCUUAGUAGCUGUAGGAAGAGAAAGAAAACUCGAUUCCCGUAGUAGCGGCGAGCGAACUGGGAAGAGCCUAAACCAGUGGUUUUUACCAUUGGGGUUGUGGGACAGCGAUAUGGACUCGAGCGGUUAGACGAAGCAUUGGAAUGAUGCACCAGAGAAGGUGAAAGUCCUGUAGUCGAAAACUUAACGAUACUAGCUGAAUCCCGAGUAGGUCGGGGCACGAGAAAUCCCGAUUGAAUCCGCGAGGACCACCUCGUAAGGCUAAAUACUCCUGCGUGACCGAUAGUGAACCAGUACCGCGAGGGAAAGGUGAAAAGAACCCCGGGAGGGGAGUGAAAUAGAACAUGAAACCGUGAGCCUACAAGCAGUUAGAGCCCGAUUAAACGGGUGAUAGCGUGCCUGUUGAAGAAUGAGCCGGCGACUUAUAGGGUCUGGCAGGUUAAAGCGGAAAUGCUGAAGCCAAAGCGAAAGCGAGUCUGAAUAGGGCGAUAGUCAGAUUUUAUAGACCCGAACCCGGGUGAUCUAACCAUGGCCAGGAUGAAGCUUGGGUGAUACCAAGUGGAGGUCCGAACCGACUGGCGUUGAAAAGCCAGCGGAUGAGCUGUGGUUAGGGGUGAAAUGCCAAUCGAACCCGGAGCUAGCUGGUUCUCCUCGAAAUGUGUUGAGGCACAGCGGUAUUGAUUAUAUACGGGGGGUAAAGCACUGAUUCGGUGCGGGCUGCGAGAGCGGUACCAAAUCGAGUCAAACUCAGAAUACCCGUAGCACACAAUGCCAGUCAGACGGUGGGGGAUAAGCUUCAUCGUCGAAAGGGAAACAGCCCAGACCACCAGCUAAGGUCCCCAAAUGGAUGCUAAGUGAUAAAGGAGGUGGGAUUGCAGAGACAACCAGGAGGUUUGCCUAGAAGCAGCCAUCCUUAAAAGAGUGCGUAAUAGCUCACUGGUCAAGCGAUCCUGCGCCGAAAAUGAACGGGGCUAAGCAUCCUACCGAAGCUGUGGACUUGUAUUUAUACAAGUGGUAGAGGAGCGUUCUGUACGAGUUGAAGCGUUAGCGAGAGCAGGCGUGGAUUGUACAGAAGUGAGAAUGUCGGCUUAAGUAGCGAAAAUGUAGGUGAGAAUCCUACACCCCGAAAUCCCAAGGUUUCCUCCGGAAGGCUCGUCCGCGGAGGGUUAGUCGGGACCUAAGGCGAGGCCGAAAGGCGUAGUCGAUGGACAACGGAUUAAUAUUUCCGUACCUGAUUUGGAUUGUGGCGGGGG